rnacentral:rRNA from 1 species
UACGAAGGGGGCUAGCGUUGUUCGGAAUUACUGGGCGUAAAGAGCUCGUAGGCGGUCUGUCGCGUCGAUCGUGAAAACUUGGGGCUUAACCCUGAGCUUGCGGUCGAUACGGGCAUGACUGGAGUUCGGCAGGGGAGACUGGAAUUCCCGGUGUAGUGGUGAAAUGCGUAGAUAUCGGGAGGAACACCAGUGGCGAAGGCGACUUCCUGGCCUGUUCUUGACGCUGAGGCGCGAAAGCUAGGGGAGCAAACGGG